rnacentral:lncRNA from 1 species
GCCCCAUCCAGCCCACCACUAAGGCUGCUUAAAGCAAAGGCAGGUUCAGAUCACCCUCCUCAAGUUUUGGAUUCAGCCCCAAAAGCUCUUUUCCUGCAGGCUGCUGUACUUGUUCCCAAUCCUCUCAGCUCUGGAGAUGCUCAAGCCUCCCCACUGCCUGCACUCUGGGGCAGGAUGGCAGAGCCCACACUGACCUGAGACCCCAUGUGUGGGGGAAAAACCAGCUGUGUACAUCAGCAGCAAGGAUAAUUCUUCUCAGCAGCCCUUGCAAAGUGUCUGAAGAGGAUGUUCCUGGGCAGCUCAGCAGCACUACUCUGGCUGCAGCUCACUCGUGGGAGCAACUAGGAUGUGUUACAAGGCAGCAGCUCAGCACAGGCAGGGAAUGAAAGUACAAUGCCUUCCCUCCCUGCUUGCCAAGGAUUGCAGGGCCUGGAGAUGGAGGGUGGCACAAAGGUAAGUGGGAUGCCACAGCAUCACUGCAAUCU